UAGGGAAUCUUCGGCAAUGGACGAAAGUCUGACCGAGCAACGCCGCGUGAGUGAAGAAGGUUUUCGGAUCGUAAAACUCUGUUGUUAGAGAAGAACAAGGACGUUAGUAACUGAACGUCCCCUGACGGUAUCUAACCAGAUAGCCACGUCUAACUACGUUCCAGCAGCCGCGGUAAUACGUAGGUGGCAAGCGUUGUCUGGAUUUAUUGGGCGGAAAGCGAACGCAGGCGGUUUCUUAAGUCUGAUGUUAAAGCCCCCGGCUAAACCGGGGAGGGUCAUUGGAAACUGGGGGACUUAGGUGCAGAAGAGGAGAGUGGAAUUCCAUGUGUGGCGGUGAAAGGGGUGGAUAUAUGGAGGAACACCAGUGGCGAAGGCGGCUCUCUGGUCAAUAACUGACGCAAAGGCUCGAAAGCGUGGGGAGGAAACAGG
rnacentral:rRNA from 1 species